rnacentral:rRNA from 1 species
GAUGAACGCUGGCGGCGUGCCUAAUACAUGCAAGUCGAGCGAACAGACGAGGAGCUUGCUCCUCUGACGUUAGCGGCGGACGGGUGAGUAACACGUGGAUAACCUACCUAUAAGACUGGGAUAACUUCGGGAAACCGGAGCUAAUACCGGAUAAUAUAUUGAACCGCAUGGUUCAAUAGUGAAAGACGGUUUUGCUGUCACUUAUAGCUGGAUCCGCGCCGCAUUAGCUAGUUGGUAAGGUAACGGCUUACCAAGGCAACGAUGCGUAGCCGACCUGAGAGAGUGAUCGGCCACACGGGAACUGAGACACGGUCCUGACUCCUACGGGAGGCAGCAGUAGGGAAUCUUCCGCAAUGGGCGAAAGCUUGACGGAGCAAGGCCGCGUGAGUGAUGAAGGUCUUCGGAUCGUAAAACUCUGUUAUUAGUGAAGAACAAAUGUGUAAGUAACUAUGCACGUCUUGACGGUAACUAAUCAGAAAGCCACGGCUAACUACGUG